GGGGUCAUAGCUCAGUUGGUAGAGUGCCUGUCUUGCAUGCACAAAGCUCUGGGUUCAAUCCCCAGCACCACCA
rfam:Ictidomys tridecemlineatus contig063000, whole genome shotgun sequence.